GACAACGUGCCAGAGUGGUUAAUGGGUUAGACUUGAAUUCUUGUGUUCAGUCAUCUAAUGACUUCGGUCGCACAGGUUCGAUCCCUGUCGUUGUCG
rnacentral:tRNA from 1 species